GCAUCUUAUCACACUUUUUGAACACUCUGACAUUCUUGCAACUUCAAAGACACUGCAGAGCCAUCCUUUUCCACAGAUUGCUCAGUUUACUGCCAUACUUGGCAUGGAAAGUGGUUGCUACAUGUAAAUCAUCACAGGGAGUUGCUUUGUUGACAUUGCGGAGAUAAAUAGGUCUUCUACACAGGAGUAUUUAGUACCUCACCAGGCAUGACCUAGGCACAUGCCGGCUGCAAUGGAACUCCUGUGAACAGUUGGCCACAGCUCUGCAGUUGCACCAAACUGAAGAGCGAUUGGAGUAUAUCUUUAUAAAAAAAACAAAGCUCAUCUCUUUUCUUGAUAAUUCUUGAUAACAGCAUUCGGUAGACGCCUUUGUGAAGUUGGUUUUUGGGAAGAAAAAAAUCAAUGUCGGUAUGGUGUCAUGUUUCAGUAGCUUCCUUUUGGGGGUAUAUCCCAUCCUUUGGUGCUUCUGAAGCUGGUUUUGGGGCGAUGAACAAACAUCUUGUGUGGCGGAUAGGUCUUCCUGGAGGAAAUGUAGCUCAAAAUGAUCUUCACAUACCACCUGACUUUGCACAUAUUUCUAUUUCUUUACAUCAAAUUUAUCCGCUCUGAUGUCAUGUAGCCAUUUAGCACGUCUUUCUCGAUGAGUGAAUAUCUUUUGGAUCGCAAAGAAACUGUGUUUCAGCUCAACUGCAUAGGUAGAAUCUUGUUUCGGGGGGGGGGGGGGGCAGUAGCCCUGCCCACGAACUGUGCCAUCAAUUACACAGCCACGCUUGGGGGGAGGGUGCAGGGAGGGGGUAGUUUCUCCCCUUCCACGCACAGCACAGAAGCUUUAAAGGCUCCUUUAAUUACAAUAGAAAGAAGAGGACUCCUGAUCCUUGUCUUAAAUUUUGAAGGAUAUUUAUUUUUUAUCAUGCAUGUGAUAUUGUGUAGUGGCAUUUUUAAUCAAUCAGUCAAAUCACCAUAACAAUCAACAUUUCAUCACAAAAUUUCCAUGCUGGGUGCUAGUUGUAAAUACUGGUUGGCUUAGAAAAUCCUGUCAGUAAGAAAACCGUCUGGACCUUUGUGAGUAAAGUCCUUAAUGUUUCUGGCGGGACCAACAUCAUUUUAUGCACGUGUUCCAUCUGUAGACAAGUUCUGUUUUUAUUUGUGCGGUGACAAGGUUGGAAAGAGCACCCAAGACAGGACAGACGAGAUUGGAAAUAAGAGAGAUGAAGAAGCCCCCUUGCUGGGUGAUGAUUCGUUUUCGUUCUUUUAACAGUGUUUUUCUGUCUGCCAGUUUUCGAAGAUGAUGCCUAUGCUUAUUCAGUGAACGUUUAUGCGUGGGAGAAAGUUUGACAUUUCCACGGACCACGUUGAAAACACACUCGCAGAUGGCGUCAAUGAGCCCCUUGAGACACGAUUACUAAACUAAACCCGAUAUACAAUUUAAUCAAAUUUUAUACUUUGGAAAUGUAAGCGAAUUGAGUUCUCCAGGAAAAAUAUUCGUUCUAAGAUGUAAUUCUUCGGGGAUAUCUUGUUCAAGGUCAACAAAUAACUACCCCUAUUCAAGACAAUGAUGACUUGAAUGUCCAAGGAAUUGUCAUUCAACAUGUCCAAUGAUUCAGCGUUCGUUUUAAUUAAUGUGGUUUUAGGUAAAUUGCUUCUUUCAGCAAACUUUCCCCAAAGUACAUUUAUGAUUCCUUUUGAAAUUGCACGCAAGCCUGGAUUUUUUUUUCAAUUUUGGCGGGGUCAAGCGCGAUUCCCUCAUGUUCGAGGUAUUUUGAGAUAUAAUUCUCCUUUUCUACGCUGGUAAUUUCAUGGGUGGGUUAACUCGAGGAUUCUUGUUUUAUUUUCAUAAACGCGUCAAUAUAGGGGGGAAAUAACCCACCUUUGCGGGUUUAAGGAUUGUAUUGUGUAGAAGCUGAAAAAUGCCAUACUUCUUCGAAUUUCAGAUUAGAAUACCCCAUUUCCACAGCCUUUUUCAACUCCUCCGAUACCCAUACCCCCUGCAAUGCGCGUUUACUAUCGUCAUGGGAACAAGGGCCUUGAUUAAGAGAGUUAGUAUAUGUCCUACAUAGAGAGAAAGUCAAUUUCCCUCCUGAACGGUAUGGCAAGACGGGGUGAAACAAUCUCUCGGCGGGAGGAUACUACAUUUGACGAGACCAAAUAUAUGAUAGAAAAUAAUAUUGUCUGCUACAUUCAGACUUACAGUUGGUUUAUAUUAGUCUUAAUCCAUGCUUUUACUAUAAACAAUGAAAUUAAAUUUUGGACAGAAUAUUUAGUAAUACUUGGAUGGACAAAUGCAUCAAGACCAGAUUACACAAGAUAUUCAUUUUUAACUGCAUAUUUUAAUUCAGGAUGAGAUGACUCAAAAUAUGCUGUUUGGUUUUAUCAUUUCAGAUUGAAUAAAAUCUACAUAUCUACUGUAGAAAUAUCUCAAUUCCAUAGUUCACAUCUCGGCUUCUUUUGUACUAUCCAAUGAUUCCAUCAUGAAUUGUUUUGAUCCUACCAGGAGCUCCCUGAAUGAGUUCCCUUAUGGUAUCGUGAUUGAUGACCAUGGAGUUGGCAACGUUUAAAGUAAAAACCCUGAAUUUGCAUUUGGUGUUACCUUUGUUUGUCAGAUAGCUAUAAUUUUUAGGCCCACCGCAUAACCAUGUUUGUAUAAACUUGCUAUUGGUAUCAUCGAUUUCAUCGGUAAGGUCCCCUACAAAAUCUCCCAUGGGAGGGUCAAGAUAUUCCACAUGAGGGUCCGUCUUGAAAACGACACUGUCUAUAUUGUAGUACAGAACCCCAUCUCCCAAUUGUUCAAGGACGAUGUACAGUUUUAACUAGGCUAAAGCCGUUGUAAACGAGGCAAUGAUUAUAUUGGUAUUGACAUUAUGAUCGACAAAACCACUUGCCAAGGUGUAGUGUACUUUGAUUAAAUGCUCAUUCAAGACAAUAAUAUCUUGAAUGUCCAAGGAUUUGUCAUUGAACAUGUCCAAUAAUUCAGCGUUCGUUUUAUUGAAUGUGGUUUUAAGUAAAUUGCUUCUUUCAGCAAACUUUCCCCAAAGUACAUUUAUGAGUUCUUCCUUGACAUUAUUUUUCCUUAAGCUUCCCAUUCUGUUGAGUUGCCUUCUCCAUACACUUGAAUAAACGGUAAAUGCUAUCGGUAACAUGGAACAACCCCCCUCUGUCCUGGAUAUUGAUCCACACAUUUGUGUAGCUCAAAAAUGAGGUUGAGUCAAUCUCAUCCUUCCUCCAAGAAGACAACAAAUGUACAUACUCUUGGGCAGUUUCAGAAGAUUGUUUGGAGUAUCUCUUGAUAAGGUUUAAAGGAAUGUAUCCACUCAUAUAUCUAAUAGCAAGUAAAUCCUGCUCAGAUAAGUUUACAUCACAGGGAGCAUUUUCUUCCAUCAGUUCUGCAGCAUUUCGCUCAGUUACAAGAGCUAAUAAAAGUAGCCAGAGUACGUACUGCAACAGCAGUUGUUCGACGAUAUGCUUUGAGUGUAUAUUGCAAGAGUCCAAAAGGUUGUUCCACUUAGUAGAUAAGUUAUCGAUAUAUGUGGAAAUUCUUCCACAUGGCUUCCUGACUUAAUGGGCCAACUGGCAAUUGAUCCCCAGAUGAGGCAACUCCCCACAUGUCGCUGGUAACUUGUUCACAGAAUACUUCAAACGAUGCAUCGUUGAUACAUUGCAUGAGGGACUGUGAUAGGUGGAUGACGUCUUUUCCGUAUCCAUGCUUGGUUUUGAAGUCUUUGUGAUGCUGAACACCUUCUACUAUUCCUUUCAUUCGUUCUGCCUUCGUCUCCAAGACUAAAUCUUUUGUCAGUGUAGAUGGCCUGUAAACUGGAAAAAAAAAAGUGUUAGUUGAAAAUUAAUAGUAAAAAGUUCCAAGUCCUGUCCUGAAUUGACAGCUUAAGGCAAAAUUCUUGUUAUGAUACGAUUUUUGUUUUCAUCUUGUAAGGCAUUCUAUACACUAAAAAGUAUUUGCAUAUUUAUUUGUCAGUUAAUAUUUUCAAUAUUUCACUUUGAAAAACGUCACAAAAUGAGAACACAGCAAAAUCUGGAAAUAUUUAUUUUGUUAAAAAAAACGCUUUCAAAUACAUGCAAAUCUUGUACAUUUACAUACGCAGGAGUUGGGAGCAAACAUUGUUUCACAAUGGGAUGUUAGAAAUACUAGACCCUGAUUAAAUACUGAUUAAAAAAAAUAUUAAUGCGUUGCAUUACUGGAUUGGUAUACAGAAAACUGAAAUCUGUAAAAGGAAAAAAAUACUGGAAACAUUUUUUUAAAAUCCAUUUGCUAUGUUAACUUGCUGCAUCAUCAUUGGAAGUUUGAAAUAAGACUUUAUUCUUAAAAGCUGUCAAAAUAUGACCUAGCAGUAAUUAAUACUUCCUAAUAAAUUGGCACAUGUACACAACUGGCUUUUUUGCAUAAUCUCAUUUCUAAUUCUAAGCAUGACACAGUAAAUAUAUUUUGGGGUUCAACCAUGAAGCAGUGUAAUGUGCUGCUAUUGUCCUUGCUUACCUUUUGGAUUCUGUUUUUUUUUAGACGAAGAUGGACCUGUCGUUGCUGUUGGACGUGUACUUUUAGAAGACUUGCUCGAGCUUGCAAUAUCAGAUGGGUCUUGGCUGUUCAACUGUGGCAGUUGCAACUUCCUCACCUAAUUGACAUAGAAUAAAAAUCCAAGCAAGAAUAAGCUGGGCUCCACACUAAACCUUUUUUUUACUGGUCCAACUUAUUCUUGUCAGACCAGUAGUUACCCAGUUUUCAAUUUUUUUUACUGGUCCGAACCUCAAAUUUUACAGGAAAAGCUGAAUAAAGAAAACUUAAAAAAAAAACACCUGGACCUAUUUUGCUUUGUUUGCCACCCCACCCCCCCCCCCCC